GUUCCUGUGGUUGAGUUUUGCAACGACGGUUUUUCAGGCCGUAGACCUUGGAGAAAAGCCAAGUAGGAACU
rnacentral:tRNA from 2 species